CAGCAGGACUUGAUUCUUCUGUCCUACCUUUUAAGAAGCUCAAUCAAAAGUGGGUGCUCUAUAGUAGAUUUUUUUUCAUCAAUUAAUUCUUCAUUUCUUGACAGAAAUUGGAUUAUUAUUUACUUUGAUAUGUAAAAUUCACACUUGCCAAUGCAUCACUGGAUACUAGAGAAAGUAUUUCCAGUCAUCACCUAUUGUUCUACAUGUGUCUGUCCUUCAUCUAAACUACUCUCAGUUGUCAAAUACUAGAGAAGUAUAUUUAUAUUUGUCCUAUAAUGUUAUGUUUAUUUCAUUAGAAUCUUUUUAUAAUUAGGUCUCUAUUGUUGAACAGGUGUAAUUUUGAAAUUAAAUCCAAGCUACAAGGCUCCAGCUUACAAUAAACCCCUCAUGCGAGAGGCCAGACUUCCGGUUCUUGAAAGUGGUUGUAAUCUUCCACACCCACAUUUCAGAUGCAUGUGCUCUAUUAGAGAUUAGCACAAUAACUGUGCCGCUCUGUAUAUUUUCCAGGUUGAAUUGUGACCUUCAACAGAUUAUUGGAUGCAUCAGAUCACUGCCAUCUGAUGAUUUGAUUAAAGCUGAGAUCCCGAAUUGGAGGAAGCUCGAUGAUUUUAUAAUACAAAAGAUUUGGUGGCGAAGAUAGUCAGAUAAAAGUUGAUGUAUAGUUGUAAAAGUUGAUGUAUAUUUGUAUUUGGUGGUUGAAUUUGUUUAAUACUUUGAUUUAGUUAGAUUUGUUAGGUAGUUUGGUUUGGUUGGAUUUGUUAUAAACUUUGGUUUGUAUGGAAAAAUAGUUUAAUGUUGUAGUUGAUAUAGUAAAAGGUUGCAAAGUUAUUAUUUAA